UACAGAGGGGGGCAAGCGUUGUUCGGAAUCACUGGGCGUAAAGCGCACGUAGGCGGAUCUUUAAGUCAGGGGUGAAAUCCCGAGGCUCAACCUCGGAACUGCCUUUGAUACUGGGGGAUCUCGAGUCCGGGAGAGGUGAGUGGAACUGCGAGUGUAGAGGUGAAAUUCGUAGAUAUUCGCAAGAACACCGGUGGCGAAGGCGGCAUCCUGGACCGGCAUUGACGCUGAGGAGCGAAAAGCCAGGGGGAGCAAACGGG
rnacentral:rRNA from 1 species